GAGAUUUGGAAGGGCCCCCAAUGGAAACAUCGUCAGUGAAUCACACCCAAAUACAAUUAUCUCCGUUAGGGACUUGUGUUGCAGUGGCUCUGAGAUUGUUAACUUUGGACACUCUUCAAUUCUUAAUUGUUGGAGGGAGGUGAGAUGGUGAAGGCCCUUGCAGUCUAGCGUCUCCAGAUUU